UGGGGAAUAUUGCACAAUGGGCGCAAGCCUGAUGCAGCCAUGCCGCGUGUAUGAAGAAGGCCUUCGGGUUGUAAAGUACUUUCAGUCGGGAGGAAGGUGGUAAGGUUAAUAACCUUGUCGAUUGACGUUACCCGCAGAAGAAGCACCGGCUAACUCCGUGCCAGCAGCCGCGGUAAUACGGAGGGUGCAAGCGUUAAUCGGAAUUACUGGGCGUAAAGCGCACGCAGGCGGUCUGUCAAGUCGGAUGUGAAAUCCCCGGGCUUAACCUGGGAACUGCAUUCGAAACUGGCAGGCUAGAGUCUUGUAGAGGGGGGUAGAAUUCCAGGUGUAGCGGUGAAAUGCGUAGAGAUCUGGAGGAAAACCGGUGGCGAAGGCGGCCCCCUGGACAAAGACUGACGCUCAGGUGCGAAAGCGUGGGGAGCAAACAGG
rnacentral:rRNA from 1 species